AUAUAUAUAUAUGUGCAUAUGUGUAUAUAUUUGUGUGUGUGGUGUAAUUUAAAACAAAAAGAAAAAGGGAAAAGAAAAAGGAAAUUGGGUAGGACCCACAUGCACUUAAAAUGGUCAUGAGACCACUUUUUGUUCUAAUUUUUUUUUAUUUUUCCCGUAAGCUUCUCUCUCAUUCCAGAAGCUCUCUGUUUUUAUUUUUUAUUUUUUUGGUUUCAAGCUUCAAGGCUUGAUUACUCCCUCAUCUCUUAGUAUUUUUAAGUGCCGUUUGAGGCAAAACGAAGCCCACGACGAGCUCUACGCAUCCAUACCAUCAAUUUCAGUUUUUGUUCACCCUUUGGAUUUCGAAAUUCAAGACCUACUUUUAAGGGUUUUGUGCAAAUUUGAGGUCUUGGAAAUGAACUGGUGGACGACAAUCCACCUCAAGCUUGAAAGUUGUUAGAAGGUUGUUUGCUAUUUUGUAUUUUGACCGUUCUAUGUAUAUUCGUAGUUGUGGAAAUGUAACUAAGUUAGUAUUCAUGGCCUUGUAACUUAAGAACGAACUUAUCUUUUGUUUGAUGUAAAUGAAACUAAUGGAAUUAUGGUAUAUGUUUCCAUGUAAUUGUAUCAUGUAACGUUGUAAGACAGGGACUUUAAAUAUUAAUCUUGUAUUUUGGGACUGUAAUUAUGAUAAUUUAGAUUAAUUGGUGUGUGGAUGUUCCACCAUGAGAGGAACUAUGUUGAGGUAUAAUGAACGGAUGAAUGGGAUGCUGGAUGAUAUUAUUUGUUUUGUGUUUUGGGACAGGUUGUUGAAGGCCCAUUUUUUGGGGAGGUUAUGUCCAAUUUUUUUUAAAUUUUGGCAUCAGCUAGGGUCGUUACAAGGAAGCUGCACACAGUGAUACUCCAAAACCAGAUGCUUCUAUCUCCAGUGAAGGUCACUUAAGUGUUUCAGAUCUAUUGGAUCACAUAACACCAGAUGCAGAUAUGACAACAAGAGACGCCCAAAAGAAGCAAGCUUGUGCGAAGGUUAAAGGAAAACCAGGACAAAGCUGGGAAAUGGUCACAGAUGAAUACCAGAAGGAUGAAAUACAGAAGACUCUAGUGAUAAAGAGAAUAAAUCUGAACUAGAGAACAAAACUGGAUCCCAGUUUGCGGAAUCGAUGGAAAAGAAGCCUGAUUUGCUUCUAGCAGAUACGAUGGUAUUGAACCAAAAUGAUGAUCUGGCACGGGAUGACACCUCCAAUGAAGGAUGGCAAGAAACUUUCCCCAAAGGUCACUCACCUACAGGUCGUAAGACUUCUAGUUCAAGGAGGCCAAGCCUCGCAAAGCUUUAUGAAUAUCUCCCAAUCAUCAAGGUCCCGAGGUAAGCCCAGUAAUUUCACAUCCCCAAAAACAAUUUCAAACGAGUCUGCUGCUUCAACUGGGCCUGCUCCUAUUCCAAAAAAGUUUUAAUAGUACAAGCUUCAGUCAAAAAUUAAAUAACCCUUCAAGCCCAGCAAUUGGGACAGAGAAAUCUGCCAACCCCAAGUCAGCCUCAGCUAGCCCCGCUUCAACUGAUCAAGUUGCCAAGUCUACUCCAAUUAUAAGUUAAGCGUUCAGGCAGCUGGAAAACUUUUUUCCUACAAAAAAGUUGCUUUAGCUCCACCUGGUACCAUUGUGAAGGCAGUAGCAGAACAGUUGCCAAAGGAAAACCAUCCAAAUGACCAAAGUCCUUAGGUUACCAAUGAGACGGUAGUUGCAGAAGCAACUCAAGGUGACCACAUGACAGCAGUGAAGGAUGCGGAACAAGAAAAACUUCUUAAAUCAAUUGAAGAGAAACAACUUCUGGUUUCUGAUGAGGAAAUUAAAAAGAACGUCAAUAAGAAACAGGUUACAG